GACGUAGGGCGCGAGCGUUGUCCGGAUUGAUUGGGCGUAAAGAGCUCGUAGGCGGCUCGUUGCGUCGGCUGUGAAAACCCGCAGCUCAACUGUGGGCCUGCAGCCGAUACGGGCGGGCUGGAGUUCGGUAGGGGAGACUGGAAUUCCUGGUGUAGCGGUGAAAUGCGCAGAUAUCAGGAGGAACACCGGUGGCGAAGGCGGCUCUCUGGUCCAUGACUGACGCUGAGGUGCGAAAGCUAGGGGAGCAAACGGG
rnacentral:rRNA from 1 species